GUUGCUGAUCGAGGUUUUGUUCUGUGUGCUAGAUUAACCUAGUAAGGAUACAGACAAUUUCUAAACUAUGCCUCACUUGUUCUGUUUUGUCAUCUGACACAAGAGGAACUAAAUGGGAAACCAACACCACAGAUCUUAAUGGCAACACUGGAGAUCAUGGAGAUCCAAAUUUUUUUUUUCCUAUCCAGAAGCCUCUAAUCUUAGUAGUCUCUUUGUUUUUAUGUCACCACAACUGGUGCUUUAAAGGCCAAUAAAGUUACUGGGAGAUGGUUCAGUGACUAAAAGCACUGUAGUUAUCUUACAAAAUGAAUCUGUAAAACGAACCUGAACUUUUCCAAAUACCCUAUUAAAACUGCUCUAUAGAUUAAAGGCUGUGUGAACCACUAUAAGGGAACAGUUACAUCAUGGCCUGGACUGAUGACUGAGCACCAGGUGAGCAGGAUGACUGGCCCAGGAAGCACAAGUGGAAGCAAUUCACCUGUUCUUACCACAUGACUGAAAGGAGUGGACUGACCUGUGAGUCUCACCAGUCUCACCUCGGGAAGAUCGUGGAACAGAUCCUCCUAGAAGCUAUGCUAAGGCACAUGGAAGGCAGGGAACUGAUAUGGAAGAACCAGCAUGGCUUCACCAGGGGCAAAUCCUGUUUAACCAAUCUGGUGGUCUUUUGUGAUAGUAUCAUUGCAUGAAUGGACAAGGGAAGGGCCAUUGAUAUCAUCUAUUUUGACUUUAAUAAGGCCUUUGACACAGUACCUCACAACACCCUUCUCUCCAUGUUGGAAAGAUAUGGAUUUGAUGGUUGGACUGUUUGAUGGAUGAAGAACUGGCUGCAGAAUCGAGUCCAGAGCAUGUCCACAGAAGAGCUACAGAAAUGAUCCAUGGAAUGGAACACCUUCGCUACGAGGACAGGCUUAGAGAGCUGGGGCUGUUCAGCCUGGAGAAGAGAAGGCUGCAAGGUGACCUGAUAGCAGCCUUUCAGUUUAUAAAGCUGAUAUCAAGCUAACUGCCUUAGAUGUAAUGGACUCUGCCAGCGGAUCAGAAAAUAAAAACAACGGAAGAGAAGAAAGAUGCCAAAUGUUUUUGAGAACCAUCUUCCACUCCCGGAGGAAGUGCUGUUUUGCUGAUGGAAAAAAUAGGUUGCUGUUUACCUUGACAGGGAGCAUCUUCUGUUGUGAUAAACAUACACCCCUAGGUCCUGGAAAGACGAUCUCUCUCCUACUGCUCUCCAGAAGGGUGUGGAUAAUUUAGUUGUCCAUAGAAGAACAGAUCUACUUUUGGUGCACCCUGAUAAUACAUCUGCAGUCAUGAGCAAUGCUGAUGUGUUCCAUCAGUGACAGCUUGAGAAUCAAGCUCACAGCCGUUGCCAACACAGCUGCCAAAUGACAGCUAAUGCCUGGUGUGACAUCUUUGCUUAAUGACACCUGUAUGUAGAACGAAGCCAGUGACCACUACUUAAUUGCUGUAAUCCUCAGUUACAUUCCCCCAGGAAUUUAUUCUUUAAAGCAGAACAAACGAACAAUAACUAACAUAUUUUCUCCAUAGGCAGUGUUGUAAAAAUAGACUUUUCCCAUAGGUAAACAAUUCUUUCAAAUGACCUGAUGGUUUAGACAAUUUUUAUAGCAUUAAGAUUGUCAUAUACUGAAUUCACAGAAGUUUGGGCAAGACAGUCUAAGGUUUCCUUGAUUUAGUGAUCUACAAUAAAAACAGCUGGUGCUGUCAUUAGCUUUCUUUAUACAUUCCCUUCUGUGCAGGGUGAUUAUUUAUUUAUUUAUUUAUUGCUAUAUGCUGAAAUGUAGCCUAUAUAAA
ensembl:lncRNA